AAAGCUUUAAGUUAAAAAAACUCUUAACCUUCAAAGUUAAAUAUAUAAUAAAUUUUAUAAGCUUUA
rnacentral:tRNA from 1 species